rnacentral:pre_miRNA from 1 species
AAUAGAUGACGCCGUUGAUAUUUUCUCAUAUGUUUGGCCAUUUGUCUUAUUAAAAAAUUACAUAAUUAUAAUUUAUUUUGUUAUGAGUUGUUUUAUCACUCAUAGUACUUUAAGUGUGAUUUAUAUCUUAUACAUUUGCAUAAAAUUUUUGAAUAAGACGAAUGGUCAAACAUGUGAGAAAAAGUCAAUGGCGUCAUCUAUU